rnacentral:rRNA from 1 species
GAGCUAAUACCGGAUAAUAAAGAGAAACGCCUGUUUCUUUUUUGAAAGUCGGUUUCGGCUGACACUUACAGAUGGGCCCGCGGCGCAUUAGCUAGUUGGUGAGGUAACGGCUCACCAAGGCGACGAUGCGUAGCCGACCUGAGAGGGUGAUCGGCCACACUGGGACUGAGACACGGCCCAGACUCCUACGGGAGGCAGCAGUAGGGAAUCUUCGGCAAUGGACGAAAGUCUGACCGAGCAACGCCGCGUGAGCGAUGAAGGCCUUCGGGUCGUAAAGCUCUGUUGUCAGGGAAGAACAAGUACCGGAGUAACUGCCGGUACCUUGACGGUACCUGACCAGAAAGCCACGGCUAACUACGUGCCAGCAGCCGCGGUAAUACGUAGGUGGCAAGCGUUGUCCGGAAUUAUUGGGCGUAAAGCGCGCGCAGGCGGUUCUUUAAGUCUGAUGUGAAAGCCCACGGCUCAACCGUGGAGGGUCAUUGGAAACUGGGGAACUUGAGUGCAGGAGAGAAAAGUGGAAUUCCACGUGUAGCGGUGAAAUGCGUAGAGAUGUGGAGGAACACCAGUGGCGAAGGCGGCUUUUUGGCCUGUAACUGACGCUGAGGCGCGAAAGCGUGGGGAGCAAACAGGAUUAGAUACCCUGGUAGUCCACGCCGUAAACGAUGAGUGCUAGGUGUUGGGGGGUUCCACCCUCAGUGCUGACGUUAACACAUUAAGCAUCCGCCUGGGGAGUACGGCCGCAAGGCUGAAACUCAAAGGAUUGACGGGGCCCGCACAAGCAGUGGAGCAUGUGGUUUAAUUCGAAGCAACGCGAAGAACCUUACCAGGUCUUGACAUCCUCUGACCACUUGAGAGAUCAAGCUUUCCCCUUCGGGGGACAGAGUGACAGGUGGUGCAUGGUUGUCGUCAGCUCGUGUCGUGAGAUGUUGGGUUAAGUCCCGCAACGAGCGCAACCCUUGACCUUAGUUGCCAGCAUUCAGUUGGGCACUCUAAGGUGACUGCCGGUGACAAACCGGAGGAAGGUGGGGAUGACGUCAAAUCAUCAUGCCCCUUAUGACCUGGGCUACACACGUGCUACAAUGGGUGGUACAAA